AGAGCGAACGUUAGCGGCGGGCCUAACACAUGCAAGUCGAGCGAGAAAAGGGCUUCGGCUCUUAGUAAAGCGGCGGACGGGUGAGUAUGACGUAGGUAACCUUCCUUCGAGCGGGGGACAACGGUCCGAAAGGACCGCUAAUACCGCAUACGUUCCCAGGGACUCCGGUCCAUGGGAGGAAAGCUAGGGUAGCAGUACUCCGGCACUCGAAGCGGGGCCUACGCCGCAUCAGCUAGUUGGUGGGUAAUGGCCUACCAAGGCUAAGACGCGUAGCUGGUCUGAGA
rnacentral:rRNA from 1 species